GAUCUUGGGUAACGUGGGCCCGCCGCUUGGUCAUCGUUAUCAACGACAACCAUAUUAUCAUUAGAGUCUUCGCUCGUUUUUUAGUUACUAGUAAUUAUUCUUGAAUUCAAUAUUCAUAAUAAUGUCAAUAUUGGUGUUGUACAACACUCCAAAAGUCCAUUAAUUAACUUUACUGUUGUGGUGCCGUACACCUUUGACAUUUUUUGGAUGGACAAGCAGUUGCUCGUUGACGCGAAGCAAAAAAUCCAAUUUCUUUUGGAACGCAAACAUUUUUAUAUCUUCUUUUGCUAGGACUGCGGCUCCUUGGUCUACGUGUAGUUCACGAGAGAUUUAUUCAUUCAUUCCAUGUGGUUCCAAUAUCUGGUAAAUAUUGUUUAGGACAUCACUUUCAUAUUAUUCACAUAACCUUUCCCAGUUCUAGGAUGUUUGUUAAGUUCUUCAACAUCCGGAUGUGUAUAUACAUGACGUGUUGAUGUGUCGAGUUUGCAAAUCGCGCUGUGAUACUAGCGGUGUUUGUCAUUUAUGUACGAGAUCACACCUGUGUAUAAUUAUUCCAUCAGGAAAAAUUGUGUAAUGUACAAUUAUCAAUAGACCAUCAAACAGAUUUUUUCCACCGUUCGUUAUCAAGAACAUUGGAGCAAAAAAUGAGUGAGCCUAAUUAACUGAAUGACUGAAUGGGUGAGUACAACAGUGGUGCCGACCAGAACAUAAUAACGGUGAAAAUAAAAAAUGAUAUAUUGAUGCUGUAAAACUUCCUACUUUGUAACAACAAGUUGAAAAUUAUUCAAUAUGCAGAAUGUAAUCUAUAAGAUUUAGUGAAUAAUUUACACAGUAACAAUGUGAUUAAUGAAGAUUUGGGAACUGUGGUUGACCAUAAUUUCAGCCGUAUUAUUCUGAAGUUUGUCUUACGUCACUGGUUAUAAUUUGGUUUUGGAGUACGUUUACAACCAUUCAACUGCCAUAUAGAUUCAAAUAAGUAAAUUGGCUCCCUCACCUCAACAAUGACCAACUAUGUAAACAACUAGUAUACAUUAUUCAAUUUUAUAUUAUAUAUCAUUUAUGAUAUGUAUUAAAUGCUGAAAUCCGCAAAAAUAUUUUAAAAAAAUAUCUUAACUGCUGCUUAUAAAAGAGCCUGCUAUCAUUUGAAGGAAAAUGAAUCAGUCAUGUAACAAAAUGCAUGUAAACAUAAAAUGUACAGACCACAAUCAGUGUUGCUUUGUUGUAAUUAAUCAUAAGUGUUUCACACCAUAAUGAUUAAGGAUAAGGAUCUUGCGCUAUCUGAUAAAACUAGACCGAUUU